rnacentral:rRNA from 1 species
AUCGGGAGUAACAACACUGGAAACAGAUGCUAAUACCGGAUAACAACAGAUGAUGCCUAUCAACUGUUUAAAAGAUGGUUCUGCUAUCACUCUUGGAUGGACCUGCGGUGCAUUAGCUAGUUGGUAGGGUAACGGCCUACCAAGGCGAUGAUGCAUAGCCGAGUUGAGAGACUGAUCGGCCACAUUGGGACUGAGACACGGCCCAAACUCCUACGGGAGGCAGCAGUG